UGACUUGCUCUGGCUAACAAAUAUGUUGGAAGUGACAAUGUAUGAAUUCUGGAGCCUAGACUCAGAAGACCUUGCAGCUUCCCCUUUCACUUUCUCGGAAUCUGCUGGUAACGGGUAAAGAACCCAGGCUAUUCUGCUAGAGAGCCACAUGGAAGAGAACUAAGGUGCCUUGGCUGACAACCCCAGCUAACUGCCAGAUAUGUGAAUGAGGCCAUCUUGAACUGUCAUGGUCCACAUGACUGCAGCCACAUGAGCAGCUCCAGCUUGAGUCCCAGCAUAAUCCAGUGAAUAAGAGAGAUGAGAGAAGAGGAAAUCAAGAGAUGUGCCAGCAGCUUAAUCGUGGGCCAGAUCCCAGGCCUCCUCCUGCAGUGUCCAGUGGCCCAGUGCUGGGUACUGCCCUGAACAGGCUCCAUGUGCAGCUGUUUCUCUGCAGAGACCCUCAAUCCAGGAUGCAAACCCAGGAUGUACAGGAGUGGAGCCGUGACAGUUCCCAGACCCUCUCACGUAAUCUCUCAAGGAAUCCAGCUUAAUAGAUCAGCCCACUUUAGACAAAGCAACAGAGAACAGAGAAUGGAUUCAGAAGCCCUGCUCCUAUCAGUCUACCCACACAGCAAGCUGGGGGGUCAGAGGUGAGGGGAGCAGGCCUGGGGUAGGAAAGGCUCCUGAAUUCCUCUGCCCCUGCAUGGUGCAGGGAUCUCAGGUAUUCUCUGAUUAAGGUGGGAAGCAGCACAGCGGCCCUCUGGAAUGUAAACAUCAGAUAAGAUCCAGCUCCCUCCUCGCCAGGGAGCUUCCAUUUUCUCUCUUCUAGGAUGGACACCACAUUCCUUCACAGGAAUUCCUUUCAGCCCCCUUUAGCCCCUUCAGACUUUGACCCCCCAGUUCUUUCCACCCCCCCUUCCUCAGCACUAGUCUCCAUUCUGCAUCCCCUAUGGCUUCCUUAUCUGACCCAGGCCUGCAGUGUCAGAACUGGAGGGGGACCUUCAGCAUGUGGACAUCUCUUGAGUUCAGGCUGGGAGUUUUUGCCCCCUGCCAUGGGCUUCUCUCCCUUGUGUCUCCUAGGAAGGUAUAGUGGGCUCCAUCGUUGUACCAAUACAAUGUUCAUUCCAAUAAGCAAUCCCCGCCAACACGUGGGGCCACCACCCCAAGCAUUAAAGGAUGAGUGGUGCUAACAAGAGGUGUCAGAGGAGGAGAGAGCACUGGCAGGGAGCCGGUGGGUGGUUGGUGGUCCAGUUAUGGAGAGGGCUACAGGGAGGAGGUGCGAUUUGCACCGAGCCUUGAGGAAAGUGUGGGGUGCAGGAAAUAGAGGAAUGGGGAGAAGUCCUGGCAGGAGGCGGUUUGGGAUCUGUCCAGAUGGAGCAGAGGGUUUAGAGAAGGGGCACUGGGGAGGUAAGUAGGAAGACAGACAAGGGGGUGAAGAGGGUGAUGGAAUGUAGGGCCAAGGUCAGAUUUUAACUUUGAACAGUGGGAAAGCCUUCAAAGGUGCUGGAGGGGAGUAGUAGUAGGAGGAUGAUGUGGAUUUAAAGAUAAUUCCAGAAGCAAACUGUGGACUGUUGUGCAGGGUAGAGAGGUGAAGGUCUCACACUCUCCUACCUCCCGACUCCUCACCCUCAGCUGUUGCCACUGUCCGGGGCCCAGAAGUACCUUGAGUGAAGAUCCAGGAUGGGUGGGACUGAGGGAGCCAUGAGAUAC